CCUUAUGACAUGCAUUUUGUGCUCCCAUGCGUAUCUUAUGUUUGCAUUUAAGGGGGAGUCUUGCAUUUAAUGGGGAGUUUUGCAUUUGAGGGGGAGUAUGCAUUGUUUUGCUCUUGUGCAUGCAUUUCAUUGUGGCAUGUUUUCAGGGGGAGUGCAUGUGUUCGGGGGGAGCUUGUGAGUUUUUUGCUCUCUUUUGCAUGUUGUGUUGAGCUUUUACCUUUUCUUGAGGAACCGGCAUUUGGUUUGAGCUUUUGAGCAUCACUUGAUUGGUGUUAAGCCCUUUUUGCCUCUUCUUGAGGGAUCAUGUGUUUUUGGUCUUAUGAUUGGUGUUAAGCCCUUUUUGCCUCUUCUUGAGGGAUCAUGUGUUUUUGAUCUUUACAUGAUUGGUGUUGAACCCUUUCUGCCUCUUCUUGAGGGAUCAUGUGUUCUUUGUCUCGGUUGUGUCGAGCCGUUGCCCAUAUCUUUGGGGACUGAGACUUUACUAAGUUGAUUUUGCCUUUGUGAUAUUUCUCAUGCCAAGUGACUUUAAUACUUG
rnacentral:lncRNA from 1 species